rnacentral:rRNA from 1 species
AGUGAACGCUGGCGGUAGGCCUAACACAUGCAAGUCGAACGGCAGCACAGUAAGAGCUUGCUCUUACGGGUGGCGAGUGGCGGACGGGUGAGGAAUACAUCGGAAUCUACUUUUUCGUGGGGGAUAACGUAGGGAAACUUACGCUAAUACCGCAUACGACCUACGGGUGAAAGCAGGGGAUCUUCGGACCUUGCGCGAUUGAAUGAGCCGAUGUCGGAUUAGCUAGUUGGCGGGGUAAAGGCCCACCAAGGCGACGAUCCGUAGCUGGUCUGAGAGGAUGAUCAGCCACACUGGAACUGGGACACGGUCCAGACUCCUACGGGAGGCAGCAGUGGGGAAUAUUGGACAAUGGGCGCAAGCCUGAUCCAGCCAUACCGCGUGGGUUAAGAAGGCCUUCGGGUUGUAAAGCCCUUUUGUUGGGAAAGAAAAGCAGCAGGUUAAUACCCCGCUGUUCUGACGGUACCCAAAGAAUAAGCACCGGCUAACUUCGUG